AGUGAACGCUGGCGGUAGGCCUAACACAUGCAAGUCGAACGGCAGCACAGUAAGAGCUUGCUCUUACGGGUGGCGAGUGGCGGACGGGUGAGGAAUACAUCGGAAUCUACUUUUUCGUGGGGGAUAGCGUAGGGAAACUUACGCUAAUACCGCAUACGACCUACGGGUGAAAGCAGGGGAUCUUCGGACCUUGCGCGAUUGAAUGAGCCGAUGUCGGAUUAGCUAGUUGGCGGGGUAAAGGCCCACCAAGGCGACGAUCCGUAGCUGGUCUGAGAGGAUGAUCGGCCACACUGGAACUGAGACACGGUCCAGACUCCUACGGGAGGCAGCAGUGGGGAAUAUUGGACAAUGGGCGCAAGCCUGAUCCAGCAAUGCCGCGUGGGUGAAGAAGGCCUUCGGGUUGUAAAGCCCUUUUGUUGGGAAAGAAAAAAAGCGUGUUAAUAUACGGCUGUCCUGACGGUACCCAAAGAGAAAGCACCGGCUAACUACGUG
rnacentral:rRNA from 1 species